GGACCCCACAAGGGAUCUUGAAACAGAAAGGGGGUGUUAGGAAAUAUGAAAUCUAGAAUAUCGGAAUAUGAACCAAGGAUGCCUUUGAGUUAAUAACGUAGCAUGCAUUUUUUGUGUAGAGAGGGACUUCAUGAAGGAGAGAAUUUACCAAGAUGGGUCUGUUUUCUAGAAACGAAGAGCACCUUCCUCUUUCAAUCUCUUUCAAAAUCUCUUCAACCACAUCUGCCCAUUUCCCAUUCAGAAAGAUGCAUAAGGGGUUGUGUCAUUUGCAGGUGACUGGGGACCUGGCUGGACAGGACUGAAACUUAUAUGCAUCUCUCAUCUGUCAACUGAGUUUAAGUCCCAGUUCUUGAUGACAUCACAGUGUUGGGGAUCAGCGUGUUUGUGACAUCAGGGGUUUCCAGGAGAUGGGCCGUGAUGCUCACAAUUAUGAUGGGCACCUUGACUCAUCAUCAGUGUUGACCAUGAACACUUACAGAGUUUCCAAAGCCAUUAGCUGAAAAGCUUUCCCCCCAAAUGGUGCCAAUUUCUUACCCUAUUCACCAACAGAAAAGCCAGUAUGAGCUUGCUUCACUUGGGCUGAAGACGAUACCAGAUGCAUCUUUCAAUUUGGGAAUGCAGCCAGAUAUGAAUGCAUUAGGCUUCUCUUCCCAGACUUGCUUCCCUCCACAUCAAAUUGUGUACUACUUUCUGAUGUACGACGCACUGAGGAUUUCAGGGACACCACAGUCAGGAUUGCCUCUCUCGCUCAGAGGAAUACAAAGUCCAGACCAGAAAGUCUGA
rnacentral:lncRNA from 1 species